GAAGCAAGACUGUGAAGAGGAGCCAAACUCAAAAACCGGUCCCAGUUCGGAUUGUAGGCUGCAACUCGCCUACAUGAAGUCGGAGUUGCUAGUAAUCGCGGAUCAGAAUGCCGCGGUGAAUGCGUUCCCGGGUCUUGUACACACCGCCCGUCACACCAUGGAAGUUGGGGGCGCCCGAAGUUGGUCGGGAAAUAGAUUACCUAAGGCGAAACCAAUGACUGGGGUGAAGUCGUAACAAGGUAAC
rnacentral:rRNA from 1 species